AUCAUUACCGAGUUUACAACUCCCAAACCCCUGUGAACAUACCUUAUGUUGCCUCGGCGGAUCAGCCCGCGCCCCGUAAAAAGGGACGGCCCGCCGCAGGAACCCUAAACUCUGUUUUUAGUGGAACUUCUGAGUAUAAAAAACAAAUAAAUCAAAACUUUCAACAACGGAUCUCUUGGUUCUGGCAUCGAUGAAGAACGCAGCAAAAUGCGAUAAGUAAUGUGAAUUGCAGAAUUCAGUGAAUCAUCGAAUCUUUGAAUGCACAUUGCGCCCGCCAGUAUUCUGGCGGGCAUGCCUGUUCGAGCGUCAUUUCAACCCUCAAGCCCAGCUUGGUGUUGGGAGCUGCAGUCCUGCUGCACUCCCCAAAUACAUUGGCGGUCACGUCGAGCUUCCAUAGCGUAGUAAUUUACAUAUCGUUACUGGUAAUCGUCGCGGCCACGCCGUUAAACCCCAACUUCUGAAUGUUGACCUCGGAUCAGGUAGGAAUACCCGCUGAACUUAAGCAUAUCAAUAAGCGGAGGAAAGGG
rnacentral:rRNA from 1 species